rnacentral:rRNA from 1 species
AGCAGCCGCGGUAAUUCCAGCUCCAAUAGCGUAUAUUAAAGUUGUUGCAGUUAAAAAGCUCGUAGUUGAAUUUCGGGGUUCCACCGUUGGUCGGGCUAUUGUUUGUACUGGCGUGUGGAAUUUCUACCUUCUGGGGAACUAUCAUGUUAUUAAUUUAGCGUGGUAGGAAACCAGGACCUUUACCUUGAAAAAAUUAGAGUGUUCAAAGCAGGCUUAUGUCUGAAUACAUUAGCAUGGAAUAAUAAAAUAGGACGGUGGUCCUGUUUUGUUGGUUUCUGAAUCACCGUAAUGAUUAAUAGGGAUAGUUGGGGGCAUUAGUAUUCAAUUGUCAGAGGUGAAAUUCUUGGAUUUAUUGAAGACUAACUACUGCGAAAGCAUUUGCCAAGGAUGUUUUCAUUAAUCAAGAACGAAAGUUAGGGGAUCGAAGACGAUCAGGUACCGUCGUAGUCUUAACCAUAAACUAUGCCGACUAGGGAUCGGACGAUGUUAAAUUUUUCUUGACU